AUUGAACGCUGGCGGCAGGCCUAACACAUGCAAGUCGAACGAGUGGCGGACGGGUGAGUAAUGUCUGGGAAACUGCCCGAUGGAGGGGGAUAACUACUGGAAACGGUAGCUAAUACCGCAUACCAUCGGAUGUGCCCAGAUGGGAUUAGCUAGUAGGUGGGGUAACGGCGCACCUAGGCGACGAUCCCUAGCUGGUCUGAGAGGAUGACCAGCAGCACUGGAAAUGAGACACGGUACAGACGCCUACGGGAGGCAGAGGUGGGGAAUAUUGCACAAUGGGCGCAAGCCUGAUGCAGCCAUGCCACGUGUAUGAAGAAGGCCUUCGGGUUGUGAAGUAUUUUCAGCGAGGGGGCGUUACUCGCAGAAGAAGCGCCGGCUAACUCCGUGCGAGCCGCCGCGGUAAUAC
rnacentral:rRNA from 1 species